ACUCUCAACUGCAGUUCCGCCAGCGCCCAACAGAUGGAGGGCGGGUCGUGUCUCCGAGUCGCCGGGAACCAUUCAGCAUCUUCUCACGUCGUCCAGUUUGACCUGCAGCCGACAGUCCUGGCGCCCCGGGUGAGUCACUGCAGGACCGCCCCGGGACCCACGGCGGCCUCUAAGGCCGGUUCUCCGUCCCCACCCCUGCCCCCGACAGGAGGGGAAACAGAGGCCCGAGGGGUCGGGGAGUGCAGGGCCUGCGCAGCUGAAGACCCUGCCUCGGGCGGCGCCCCCUCCUCUCCUGCAGGACCCUGACCCACACUGCCUGCCGCGGCCCCGCCGUGUCCAGGGACUGAGCUGUCCCCUGGGGCAGUGCUGGAGCUGUGGCCUUCCUGCCCUACUGCCGAGGGAUCUCAAGGUCAGUGCCGUGAGUGUCACCUGCUCGGUGCCUGGCAGGUGUCUGGUGCUCAGCAGCUGUGCAAUAUCUGCCCAGCAGGAAAGAAGGACAGGACAGACACAUCCCAGUGAGGUGGUGUGGCCCAUCAUGUCAUGGAGAACCAGAGAAAGACUGCUUGUGGCCAGCCAGCCAGGGGAGAGGUGGAGGAUCCAGUUUCCAGAAUCUGUACAGAGUCAUCUGAGUUUGCACAAAAGAUGAUCUGAAAAGCCAUCUCUGUCUCAGAUGCAGAUGAGUUGUUGUCCUAUGUGGAGUAGCGAACUCCUGUCCUGGGAAUGAGAGGUGUAGCUCGUGAGCUGGGAACACAGCCCACGUUUGUGAAGCAGCCAGCUUCUCAGAGAACCCAGGUACUCUGCCUGGGUUCCAGGACAUGUGGUGACCAGGUGGCAUCUAGGUUGCUCAUGCAGGACUUCUCAGUCAUUACAGAGGAAGCAGCACGGUACACAGGGGUCCCUGAGAGGUGUCUCCAUCCUGUCAAGAGGCAGCUGGCCCAGACGAGUCCACUGUGUGCAGAGGGGUCAUGGAAGCUGUCGUGUCAGGAGCAUUCUAGACCCCGGUGUCCUUGAGAUGUUGGCUUGAAGAAAGGCGAGGUAACAUCGGAGGGCAACCCCCUGUCGUGACCUCCUGCCCUGUGACCUCCCCGUCACGCUGGGGGUGCUGCCUUGGAAGACGCCUCAGGGAUGGGAGCACUGGCCUCUCAGGAUGGUGAGCUGAGUCCCAGCUCUGCCGGAGGAGCCUCCUCAUGGUUGUUUUGGGUCUGAUCACAGACGAUGGCGUAGCAGACUGAAGAGGGGUGUUGCUGCGUGACCACCGCCAGACCUUCUCCUCCUGUUGCCUCAGCGCAGUAUGGAAGGACUCAGCCCCGUGUGACCAGGUCAGGGGCCUGGGAAAGGCCUGGGACUCGGGGGCCCUGGGAUUCACAGCUGGAGACCUUCAGCUGGCUCUGCCCCUCCCCAGCAGGUGCCACAGGGCACGGCGGACCCAGAAGACUGGUUUCCUUCCAUCUGAACCAGGUCCUCCAGUGGCCUCCAUGUCCCUCUCUCUGCUCCUGGUGUAACUUUUAGAACCUGUUGGAGGCGUCUGUGCUGGGCAUCUUGUCCUCUCACCCACUUCAAUAAAUCAUGAAACUGCCCUGC